GAUGAACGCUGGCGGCGUGCCUAAUACAUGCAAGUCGAGCGAACGGACGAGAAGCUUGCUUUUCUGAUGUUAGCGGCGGACGGGUGAGUAACACGUGGAUAACCUACUUAUAAGACUGGGAUAACUUCGGGAAACCGGAGCUAAUACCGGAUAAUAUUUUGAACCGCAUGGUUCAAAAGUGAAAGACGGCCUUGCUGUCACUUAUAGAUGGAUCCGCGCUGCAUUAGCUAGUUGGUAAGGUAACGGCUUACCAAGGCAACGAUGCAUAGCCGACCUGAGAGGGUGAUCGGCCACACUGGAACUGAGACACGGUCCAGACUCCUACGGGAGGCAGCAGUAGGGAAUCUUCGGCAAUGGGCGAAAGCCUGACGGAGCAACGCCGCGUGAGUGAUGAAGGUCUUCGGAUCGUAAAACUCUGUUAUUAGGGAAGAACAUAUGUGUAAGUAACUGUGCACGUCUUGACGGUACCUAAUCAGAAAGCAACGGCUAACUACGUG
rnacentral:rRNA from 1 species